UAGUGGCGAACGGGUGAGUAACACGUGAGUAACCUGCCCUUAACUCUGGGAUAAGCCUGGGAAACUGGGUCUAAUACCGGAUAUGACUCCUCAUCGCAUGGUGGGGGGUGGAAAGCUUUUUGUGGUUUUGGAUGGACUCGCGGCCUAUCAGCUUGUUGGUGAGGUAAUGGCUUACCAAGGCGACGACGGGUAGCCGGCCUGAGAGGGUGACCGGCCACACUGGGACUGAGACACGGCCCAGACUCCUACGGGAGGCAGCAGUGGGGAAUAUUGCACAAUGGGCGCAAGCCUGAUGCAGCGACGCCGCGUGAGGGAUGACGGCCUUCGGGUUGUAAACCUCUUUCAGUAGGGAAGAAGCGAAAGUGACGGUACCUGCAGAAGAAGCGCCGGCUAACUACGUGCCAGCAGCCGCGGUAAUACGUAGGGCGCAAGCGUUAUCCGGAAUUAUUGGGCGUAAAGAGCUCGUAGGCGGUUUGUCGCGUCUGCCGUGAAAGUCCGGGGCUCAACUCCGGAUCUGCGGUGGGUACGGGCAGACUAGAGUG
rnacentral:rRNA from 1 species